AACGCAUAUUGCGCCCUCUGGUAUUCCGGGGGGCAUGCCUGUUCGAGCGUCAUUAAACACCCCUCAGGCUCUGCUUGGUGUUGGGCACCGUCGCGUUGGCGACGCGCCCCAAAUGUCUUUUGGCUGCGGGCUCCGGCUCAGGGCGCUGCGAGGCGUAGCAACGUCAGGCGCUCUGCGGCGGGACCACGUCGGCCAGCAAAACAACCCAUUUUAUCGUUGACCUCGAAUCAGGUAGGGAUACCCGCUGAACUUAA
rnacentral:misc_RNA from 1 species